GGGAAACAAAGAAGCCACAUGUCAAGUUUUUUCGAAUUCCACGUGACCCAAGGUCAAAAGCAUGGCUACAGUACGCCAGACGUCCUGAGCUCCUAGGAAAGACAGCCAAGGAGCUCUAUGAGGGGUAUCGCCUGUGUAGUGAGCAUUUCACAGCCAAGGACUUUUUGGAUCCUGGGAAGACAAGGCUGACCAAAACGGCUAUCCCUACGGUUCGGCCGCAAAUGCUUAGGCCAUCUGUAACAGCCCAAGGUAACAUAAUCUUUAUUUGCAGUCUGUACGGAGUUCUGUUAUAUUUUGCUUUUAGGCAGCACCAACUCUACGUCACUGAUGCCAGCUGCCAGCAUGCUGUCAACGAUGCUUGACAGUCUCAAAAGUUUUAAUCUGAUUUAAUUAGUUUUUAUUAUUAGUUUGUGCUUAAAUAUUUUAUCUAAUUCAUUUAGCAUUUUUGUACAUUAUCCCUGUAAUGUCCCUGCGCAUACUGUUGCCCAUAACCAAUAUCCGUCCCAGUUUGUUGGAAAAUUGUUUUAAAGCACAAGGUCAGCUGCAUUGAAAUACAGUAAUUUGUGUCCUGCAAUCAAGAAGGGCAGUUCUGCCAGUGCAGUAUGACUUCUUACAGGGCAUCCUAGGUUUGUAGCAUACAAUAGUGAUAUAAAUGAAAGAUAAGGCAGGUCAACGUUCCCCUGUUCAUAUCCAAUUCGACAAGAGGACUCAUGCCGUCUGAGUCAUCUUCCUGACACUCAUGUUUACAAGGUUAGCUUUAGUUGCCCAUGCUGUUAUGUUCUCAUACAUUAGCAUACCGGGCCGUUAAAAUUUAAGAUAUUCCGAGAUUCCUAAGUGCCUUUUCAAGACCCGCCGGAUCCUGUGUUUCGCCAUUGAUUAAUAUUGCUCAACAUUAAUUUUCAUCACUAAGGGAUUUCAAUGCCCUUUCAGAGUGCUGAAUAUUUUCUGUUCCUUUGAAAGGUAACACUACUAACCUAUCAUUCGCCUGUAGCAGGAAUUCUCCAUCAGAAGCUUUAUAAGCAGGUAUUCAUAUCUGAGAAGCCAAAAUUUUUCAGAAGAACCGGUGGCAACAACAUGCCCCUGUGACGUUCCAUUGGAGGGAAACAGAAGGUCGCAUCCCACAGCAGCUUAUGAAAAGCCAAUAGCGGAACCAAGCCCCGGGGAUGUUCGAUUGGAGGGCAGCAGAACGUCGCCUUCAACAGCUGCUCAUGAAGGACCGAUGGUGGCACCAAGCCCCGGGAAUGUUCCAUUGGAGGGUAGUGGAACGUCACAUUUGGCAGCUGCUCAUAAACAACCGCUGGCGGCACCAAGCCCCGGUAAUGUUCCCUUGGAGGGCAGUGGAAUGUCACCUUCAACAGCUGCUCGUGGUGAGAUCAUUUAUUUUAAAACAGGGGCUCAUACCUGACAAGCAAAUGUCGUUCAGAAGGGCCGAUGGCGGCACCAAGCCCAGGGAAUGUUCCAAUGGAAAGCAGCGGAACGUCACCCUUGGCAGCUGUUCAUGAAGAACCGGUGGCGACAUGUCCCUGUGACGUUCCAUUGGAGGGAAGCAGAACGUCGCAUCCCACAGCAGCUUCUGAAAAGCCGAUGGCGGAACCAAGCCCCGGGGAUGUUCGAAUGGAAGGCAGUGGAACGUCACCUUCGGCAGCUGCUCAUGGUGAGAUCAUUUCUUUUAAAACAGCUGCUCAUAUCUGACAAGCAACCG